UACGUAGGGACCGAGCGUUGUCCGGAAUCAUUGGGCGUAAAGAGCGUGUAGGCGGCCACUUAAGUCCUGCGUGAAAUCUUGCGGCUCAACCGCAAGCGGUCGUGGGAAACUGGGUGGCUAGAGUGCGGGAGAGGAGAGUGGAAUUCCUGGUGUAGCGGUGGAAUGCGCAGAUAUCAGGAAGAACACCCGUGGCGAAGGCGGCUCUCUGGAACGUAACUGACGCUGAGACGCGAAAGCGUGGGGAGCAAACAGG
rnacentral:rRNA from 1 species